rnacentral:rRNA from 1 species
CGGGGCGCAGCAGGCGCGGAACCUUUACACUGCACGACAGUGCGAUAAGGGGACUCCGAGUGCGAGGGCAUACAGUCCUCGCUUUUCUGUACCGUAGGGUGGUACAGGAACAAGUGCUGGGCAAGACCGGUGCCAGCCGCCGCGGUAAUACCGGCAGCACGAGUGAUGGCCGAUAUUAUUGGGCCUAAAGCGUCCGUAGCUGGCCGGACAAGUCCGUUGGGAAAUCCACCCGCUUAACGGGUGGGCGUCCAGCGGAAACUGUCCGGCUUGGAGCCGGAAGACCUGAGGGGUACGUCCGGGGUAGGAGUGAAAUCCUGUAAUCCUGGACGGACCGCCGGUGGCGAAAGCGCCUCAGGAGGACGGACUCGACAGUGAGGGACGAAAGCCAGGGUCUCGAACCGGAUUAGAUACCCGGGUAGUCCUGGCUGUAAACGAUGUCCGCUAGGUGUGGCGCAGGCUACGAGCCUGCGCUGUGCCGUAGGGAAGCCGUGAAGCGGACCGCCUGGGAAGUACGUCUGCAAGGAUGAAACUUAAAGGAAUUGGCGGGGGAGCACUACAACCGGAGGAGCCUGCGGUUUAAUUGGACUCAACGCCGGACAUCUCACCAGCACCGACAGUAGCUGUGAAAGUCAGUCUGAUGCGCUUACUGGAGCUACUGAGAGGAGGUGCAUGGCCGCCGUCAGCUCGUACCGUGAGGCGUCCUGUUAAGUCAGGCAACGAGCGAGACCCGCACUCCUAGUUGCCAGCAAUACCCUUGUGGUAGUUGGGUACACUAGGAGGACUGCCGCUGCCAAAGCGGAGGAAGGAACGGGCAACGGUGGGUCAGUAUGCCCCGAAUGUGCUGGGCAACACGCGGGCUACAAUGGCCGGGACAAUGGGAAGCCAUCUCGAGAGAGAGCGCUAAUCCCCUAAACCCGGUCGUAGUUCGGAUUGAGGGCUGAAACUCGCCCUCAUGAAGCUGGAUUCGGUAGUAGUCGCGUGUCACUAGCGCGCGGCGAAUACGUCCCUGCUCCUUGCACACACCGCCCGUCAAAGCACCCGAGUGAGGUCCGGAUGAGGCCCGGUCCCGGUCGAAUC